rnacentral:rRNA from 1 species
UACGGGGGGGGUAAGCGUUGUUCGGAAUUACUGGGCGUAAAGCGCUCGUAGGCGGCCAACUAAGUCAGACGUGAAAUCCCUCAGCUUAACUGGGGAACUGCGUCUGAUACUGGAUGGCUUGGAUCCGGAAGAGGGAUGCGGAAUUCCAGGUGUAGCGGUGAAAUGCGUAGAUAUCUGGAGGAACACCGGUGGCGAAGGCGGCAUCCUGGGCCGGUAUUGACGCUGAGGAGCGAAAGCCAGGGGAGCAAACGGG